CAGUUCCUGUUGCAAAUGCGUUGGACGACAGUAAGGUUAACGUUAAUCCAACGACUAGGUGAGAAAAUGCGCGAUGCACCGAGCGCGCGGGUUUAUGUAGGCUGGUGCGAGCUGCCUUUCAUAUAUGAUUCACUCUCCCACCACGGCUCCACAGCCUGUGGUUUUCUUAGAAGAAAAAAAAGACAUACUUAUCCUUUUCACUUAUUUCACUCUUAGUCAGUGGGAAAAAUGAGAGCAGUCGGGGUUAAAAUGAGCUUUCUCUGUCACGAGUGUUUUAGAUAUUCGAAAGUGACUACAGAUGCGCACACACGAACACAAUUCUUUUCCCUCUGUAACGCUGUACAGAGACGACACCAGAUCGGUGCAAGAAAUGGGUUUCCUUAAGAAGAGAUGAUGGGAGGAAAUGAAGAUGGAGGAGCCGGUUAGCCCCCCCCGUCCCACUCGCCCACCCCGGUGAGAUCAUGGCGGGGUGGUCAUGAGGAAGGAGACCCUCGCCGAGGGGGACAAAAUGGAGGGUGGUGCCCCCUGAAACCACUGCCUGCCCCCCCCCCUCCCUCAUUCAGAGACUGAAAGACUACAAGGACCAGAAGGGAUAUUCCAUAUUCGAUAAAAAGGUUGGUUGCAGAGGCCGGCUCAAGGACGACCCAAAAACAAGCCACGCUUCCUGACCACAGAACACGCGUCACCGUGAACGUUAAACAGAAUCGGAAUGUCUGGUGCUGCUGGGCGGCUCAUCCUUUUAACCCUUUACGGCAGAGGUGGGCAAUGAGGGCCCUGUCUGUAUCUGGUUUUCAUGCCAACUUCUGGUGUGAUUGGAAUGUUCUUAACUGAACAUUCUAUUGCUGAUGUAACAUGCAAAACUGGUUCUAGAACACUGACAUAGAAUUAAAAAAAAAAAAACAUUACAAAAGAACUAUUUUUCAAAGGGUUAAGGCGCUGUUGUGUUAUGUUCCAGUGCAUGGGUGGGCUGCACACUGUGGUAUUGGAUCCAGACUGUGCCAGCGCUUACCUUGGCUGGCAGCGCUGCAAGGUGGCACAUCGUUGGCACAUCGUUGGCGCUAGCAUUGCUCGGGGAGGGAGGGCUUCAGCAGGCCAGGAUAGAAUGCAUCUUUAAAAAAAUACCGGAGUAGGAAGUGGUUUUAAUCUUAAUAAGUGCUAUUUCUGAAGAUGUUGUUUCAAAAUAUGAGUAUCUCGUGAGUCUUUCAACAAUAACCUGUAUGAUAACAUUGGAUGGGGACUUCAUUGCAAUCAUUCAUUACAUUACAAUUAUUGUUUUUGUCCUUCUAUGUAGUGGUUUUUUAAUCACAUCUCUUAAUAGUUCAGAAAUAAAAGAAAAAAAGUUUA